rnacentral:rRNA from 1 species
CCUACGGGGGGCAGCAGUCGAGAAUCAUUCACAAUGGGGGAAACCCUGAUGGUGCGACGCCGCGUGGGGGAAUGAAGGUCUUCGGAUUGUAAACCCCUGUCAUGUGGGAGCAAAUUAAAAAGAUAGUACCACAAGAGGAAGAGACGGCUAACUCUGUGCCAGCAGCCGCGGUAAUACAGAGGUCUCAAGCGUUGUUCGGAAUCACUGGGCGUAAGGCGUGCGUAGGCUGUUUGGUAAGUCGUGUGUGAAAGGCGCGGGCUCAACCCGCGGACGGCACAUGAUACUGCGAGACUAGAGUAAUGGAGGGGGAAGCGGAAUUCGCGGUGUAGCAGUGAAAUGCGUAGAUAUCGAGAGGAACACUCGUGGCGAAGGCGGGUUCCUGGACAUUAACUGACGCUGAGGCACGAAGGCCAGGGGAGCGAAAGGGAUUAGAUACCCGUGUAGUC